rnacentral:rRNA from 1 species
AAUCCAGACUCCUACGGGAGGCAGCAGUGGGGGAUAUUGCACAAUGGGCGCAAGCCUGAUGCAGCGACGCCGCGUGUGGGAAGACGGUCCUCUGGAUUGUAAACCACUGUCCCCAGGGACGAAGAUGACGGUACCUGAAGAAGAAGCCCCGGCUAACUACGUGCCAGCAGCCGCGGUAAUACGUAGGGGGCAAGCGUUAUCCGGAUUUACUGGGUGUAAAGGGGGCGCAGACGGCGAUGCAAGCCAGGAGUGAAAGCCCGGGGCCCAACCCCGGGACUGCUCUUGGAACUGCGUGGCUGGAGUGCAGGAGGGGCAGGCGGAAUUCCUGGUGUAGCGGCGAAAUGCGUAGAUAUCAGGAGGAACACCGGUGGCGAAGGCGGCCUGCUGGACUGCAACUGACGUUGAGGCCCGAAAGCGUGGGGAGCAAACAGGAUUAGAUACCCUCGUACAA